rnacentral:rRNA from 1 species
UACGUAGGGGCCGAGCGUUGUCCGGAAUUACUGGGCGUAAAGAGCUCGUAGGUGGUUUUGUCGCGUUGUCCGUGAAAAACUCACAGCUCAAACUGUGGGCGUGCGGGCGAUACGGGCAGACUGGAGUACUGCAGGGGGAGACUGGAAUUCCUGGUGUAGCGGUGGAAUGCGCAGAUAUCAGGGAGGGAAACACCGGUGGCGAAAGGGCGGCCCUGCUGGGGCAGUGGCUGACGCUGAGGCGCGACAGCGUGGGGGGAGCAAAACAGGAUU